UACGUAGGGUGCAAGCGUUAUCCGGAAUUAUUGGGCGUAAAGAGCUCGUAGGCGGUUUGUCGCGUCUGCUGUGAAAACUGGAGGCUCAACCUCCAGCUUGCAGUGGGUACGGGCAAACUAGAGUGCGGUAGGGGGAGAUUGGAAUUCCUGGUGUAGCGGUGGAAUGCGCAGAUAUCAGGAGGAACACCGAUGGCGAAGGCAGAUCUCUGGGCCGUAACUGACGCUGAGGAGCGAAAGCAUGGGGAGCGAACAGG
rnacentral:rRNA from 1 species